rnacentral:rRNA from 1 species
UUGAUUAAUUACAAUUUUAUUCGCCAGGGAACUACGAGCGUCAGCUUAAAACCCAAAGGACUUGGCGGUGCCCUACACCUCCUAGAGGAGCCUGUUCUAUAAUCGAUGAUCCACGAUACACCUCACCGUUUCUUGCCAAAACCGCCUAUAUACCGCCGUCUCCAACUUACCCUAUGAAGGAUUCACAGUAAGUUCAAAGAUCACCCAUCAGAACGUCAGGUCAAGGUGUAGCGAAUGAAACGGGAAGAAAUGGGCUACAUUUUCUAUUUUAGACCACACGGACAAUCAGUAUGAAACCUGAUUAUGAAGGAGGAUUUAGCAGUAAAAAGAAAUCAGCAAGUUCUUUUUAAGUCGGACCUAGGGCGCGUACACACCGCCCGUCACCCUCUUCAACUCAUUUCACCCUAUUUAUAAUAAAAUAAUUGGAGACAAGAAGAGGCAAGUCGUAACAUGGUAAGUAUACCGGAAGGUGUACUUGGAAC